AGUAAUAUGUCUGAUAAAAGUAAUAAAUUGUAAAUUUAUUUAUGGAAAGGUUUCCUAUUACUA
rnacentral:tRNA from 1 species